rnacentral:rRNA from 1 species
GAUGAACGCUGGCGGCGUGCCUAAUACAUGCAAGUCGAACGAGGUGCUUUUGUGGCAAUACGAGAGUAUCCUAGUGGCGAACGGGUGAGUAACGCGUUGGUGACCUACCCCAAAGUGUGGGAUAACAGUCCGAAAGGAUUGCUAAUACCGCAUGUGGUCUUCGGAUUUAGAAACUGAUGACUAAAGGAGCAAUUCGCUUUGGGAGGGACCUGCGUCCCAUCAGCUAGUUGGUGAGGUAAUGGCUCACCAAGGCUACGACGGGUAGGGGACCUGAGAGGGUGACCCCCCCACAAUGGAACUGAAACACGGUCCAUACACCUACGGGUGGCAGCAGUAGGGAAUAUUGCACAAUGGGCGAAAGCCUGAUGCAGCAACGCCGCGUGUGCGAUGAAGGCCUUCGGGUCGUAAAGCACUUUUCUGGGAGAUGAGCAAGGACAGUAUCUCAGGAAUAAGUCUCGGCUAACUAACGUGCCAGCA